UAAUCCUACGGGGGGCAGCAGUGAGGAAUAUUGGUCAAUGGACGGAAGUCUGAACCAGCCAUGCCGCGUGCAGGAAGACGGCUCUAUGAGUUGUAAACUGCUUUUGUACAAGGGUAAACCUGAAUACGUGUAUUCAGCUGAAAGUACUGUACGAAUAAGGAUCGGCUAACUCCGUGCCAGCAGCCGCGGUAAUACGUAGGAUCCAAGCGUUAUCCGUAUUUAUUGGGUUUAAAUGGUGCGUAGGCUGAUUGAUAAGUUA
rnacentral:rRNA from 1 species